AAGGAUUAUAUUUUGUCGGAAAAUUUGGAAAUACCGACACCGAUGAACAAUUUUGCAUCAAAAAUUAUAAUUUUUCCACAAAUUUUUCCUACGGGAUUGGUGUUUGUUGGAAAAUUAAAUUUCCCCCAAACAAAAACAACCCAACCCUACCCAUCUUCCUUUUCUUCCCUAUCCUCCUAUCCCAAUUCCUCCAAUUCUCUUUACUGCUUCCCCCUCUAUUUCUCUGAAUGGCUCCUCUUGUUCUCUCUCCAGCUUCCUUGUCAGGGCUUCGAGGAUGAGGAUGGCGCUGGAGAAACAGACUAUGCAGCUGGCAUGGUCGCGGCGCAGAGCACUUGGGAUCCCUGGCCCACUACAACACAGGAUACACCUCAGCCAGCCCAGAAUGCUCCUUCCUCACCUCAUGAUGAGCCCACACCGGCAUAGGAUGACUAAAGACAAGGCUUUAUUUAUUUAUUUUCUGCUUUUUAGAUAUAGUUUUAAAUUUCAGUUUUAGUUUAGUUUAUUUACUUAUUUAGCAAAUUUUUCAGUUUUUGAAAUAGUUUACAGUUAUUUAUGCAGUGGUUAUGUUGGUUUUAAAAUUUCUGUGUUUGUGAAUGACUUUGAAAUUGAUAGAUUCCAUGACUCGAGUGAAUUGCGAUGUUAGAUCACAUACUUUGAAUAAGUAUGCGGUAAUUAGAAGAGAAAGAACAUGAAUUAGGGACGUGGGUGAAAUUGUUAGUUUGUUUGACAGGUAAAUUGUGAAGGUAAUCAUUAGCCAUAACCCGGUGAGUGUGUGAACCUUAAUUGUGAGAGAACGACUAGCAUUGGGUACUGAUUUUUGCAUGAAUCUCUUAAUACUGAAUGAAUGCAUGAUUUUGGAAAUGAUGAAGGUCGUGAUUGAUUGAAUUAGCCACUUAGCCAAAUAGGUUACCUUGUUUAUGAAUGAUGAAUCCCUUGCACCCAUUUUGAGCUUAAAUAUGAUUGAUUGAGAUGAACCUUGAGCCUGUUGAAUUAUAAUCUCCAUCUACCUUUCUUAGGUUGUAGGAGAGCAUCAUGGUGCAAAGAAAAUUUGUCCCAAAUUUGGGGGACGAUGUUGGGUGAUGGUAAUUGUGGUAAGAUAAGUAAACGGCCACACAUAAAGUAUAUAAGAAGCAACAAAGACUGCUAAAAUAAAAUAAAAAAAGAGAGAGAAGUUUCAAGAAUAAAAAUAUGUGUGUUGUUACUUAAGCUAAGUGCCUUAAAUGUUGGUGGCAAGUCAAUAGAAGCUGGAAUAAAAGGAAAAGAGUUGAUCUAAGGAUGAAUGCUCUCCUAGAACCUAAGUUUUUACAUCCUAGAAAAACCAUGAAUUGUUUGCAACCCAGCCUCAUUACAAGCCAAGAAAGUCCUUCAGAUUCAAUAUUUGUAUUUGUGAUUGUAUGUCAUGAGAUGAAAUGCAAAAGUUGAGACUUGUGUUGGUUGUAAAAUUGAAGAAUUGCCUUAAACACUUGUGCUUAUGAGAGAAACAGUGACCGUGAGGAUUUGGCUUGAUGAACCUUCCUUGAUAUCUAUCUUGCUUGCUAGUUUAUUUCACUUGUGCUGCUUAAUGAUCAUGCUCGUAUCUUUGAAAUUCUGCAUAUCUUUAUGAAGAACUGUUGGUUGAA